rnacentral:rRNA from 1 species
GUUUGAUCCUGGCUCAGGAUGAACGCUGGCGGUAUGCUUAAUACAUGCAAGUCGUACGAGGGCUUUUAGCCCUAGUGGCGGACGGGUGAGUAACACGUGAGAAUCUGCCCUUAGGAGGAGGAUAACAGCUGGAAACGGUUGCUAAUACUCCAUAUGCCGAGAGGUGAAAGGAUUUAUCCACCUAAGGAGGAGCUCGCGUCUGAUUAGCUAGUUGGUGGGGUAAUGGCCUACCAAGGCGACGAUCAGUAGCUGGUUUGAGAGGAUGAUCAGCCACACUGGGACUGAGACACGGCCCAGACUCCUACGGGAGGCAGCAGUAGGGAAUUUUCCGCAAUGGGCGAAAGCCUGACGGAGCAAUACCGCGUGAGGGAUGACGGCCUGUGGGUUGUAAACCUCUUUUCUCAAGGAAGAAGUUCUGACGGUACUUGAGGAAUAAGCAUCGGCUAACUCUGUGCCAGCAGCCGCGGUAAUACAGAGGAUGCAAGCGUUAUCCGGAAUCACUGGGCAUAAAGCGUCUGUAGGUUGUUUAGUAAGUCUGCUGUUAAAGACUGGGGCUUAACCCCAGAAAAGCAGUGGAAACUGCUAGGCUCGAGUGUGGUAGAGGUAGAGGGAAUUCCUAGUGUAGCGGUGAAAUGCGUAGAUAUUAGGAAGAACACCAAUGGCGAAGGCACUCUACUGGGCCAUAACUGACACUGAGAGACGACAGCUAGGGGAGCAAACGGGAUUAGAUACCCCGGUAGUCCUAGCCGUAAACGAUGGAUACUAGAUGUUGCACGUAUUAACCCGUGCAGUAUCGUAGCUA